rnacentral:rRNA from 1 species
AGGGUUCGAUCCUGGCUCAGAACGAACGCUGGCGGCAGGCUUAAUACAUGCAAGUCGAGCGGUCUCCUUCGGGAGACAGCGGCGGACGGGUUAGUAACGCGUGGGAACGUGCCCUUUAGUACGGAAUAGCCAUUGGAAACGAUGAUUAAUACCGUAUACGCCCUAUGGGGGAAAGAUUUAUCGCUAAAGGAUCGGCCCGCGUUAGAUUAGGUUGUUGGUGGGGUAAUGGCCUACCAAGCCUACGAUCUAUAGCUGGUUUGAGAGGAUGAUCAGCAACACUGGGACUGAGACACGGCCCAGACUUCUACGGAAGGCAGCAGUAGGGAAUCUUGGACAAUGGGCGAAAGCCUGAUCCAGCCAUGCCGCGUGAGUGAUGAAGGCCCUAGGGUUGUAAAACUCUUUCGCCAGGGAAGAUAAUGACGGUACCUGGUAAAGAAACCCCGGCUAACUCCGUGCCAGCCGCCGCGGUAAUA